rnacentral:rRNA from 1 species
CAGCCGCCGCGGUAAUACGGAGGAUCCAAGCGUUAUCCGGAAUCAUUGGGUUUAAAGAGUCCGUAGGCGGUCUUGUAAGUCAGUGGUGAAAGCCCAUCGCUCAACGGUGGAACGGCCAUUGAUACUGCAGGACUUGAAUUAUUGGGAAGUAACUAGAAUAUGUAGUGUAGCGGUGAAAUGCUUAGAGAUUACAUGGAAUACCAAUUGCGAAGGCAGGUUACUACCAAUUGAUUGACGCUGAUGGACGAAAGCGUGGGUAGCGAACAGGAUUAGAUACCCCAGUAGUCCCUGUCUCUUAUAC